rnacentral:lncRNA from 1 species
AUGACUAGACAGGGAGAACCCCAGGUCCAGUUCAAACUUGUAUUGGUUGGUGAUGGUGGUACUGGGAAAACGACCUUCGUGAAACAUCAUUUGACUGGUGAAUUUGAGAAGUGUAUAGCCACCUUAGGUGUUGAGGUUCAUCCCCUAGUGUUCCACACCAACAGAGGACCUAUUAAGUUCAAUGUAUGGGACACAGCCAGCAGGGAGAAAUUCGGUAGACUGAGAGAUGGCUAUUAUAUCCAAGCCCAGUGUGCCAUUAUAAUGUUUGAUGUAACAUCAAGAGUUACUUACAUGUGCCUAUCUGGCAUAGAGAUCAGGUGAGAGCGUGUGAAAACAUCUCCAUCGUGUUGUGUGGCAACAAAGUGGAUAUUAAGAAGAGGAAAGGGAAGGCAAAAUCCAUUGUCUUCCACCAAAAGAACAAUCUUCAGUACUAUGACAUUUCUGCCAAAAGUAACUACAACUUUGAAAAGCCCUUCCACUGGCUUGCUAGGUAGCCCAUUGGAGACCCUGACUUGGAAUUUGUUGCCAUGUCUGCUCUCUCCCCACCGGAGGUUGUCAUGGACCCAGCUUUGGCAGCACAGUAUGAGCACGACUUAGAGGUUGCUCAGACAACUGCUCUCCCGGAUUAGGAUAAUGACCUGUGA